rnacentral:rRNA from 1 species
AAUCAACGCUGGCGGCGUGCCUCAGACAUGCAAGUCGAACGAUUAAGACUCUCUUCGGAGAGUGCAUAAAGUGGCGCACGGGUGAGUAACACGUAAGUAAUCUACCUUUGGGUGGGGAAUAACAGUCGGAAACGACUGCUAAUACCGCAUAAUGCAGCGGCUCCUUAUGGAGACAGUUGUUAAAGAUUUAUCGCCUAAAGAGGAGCUUGCGGCAGAUUAGCAGUUGGUAAGGUAACGGCUUACCAAGGCGACGAUCUGUAUCCGACCUGAGAGGGUGGUCGGACACACUGACACUGAAUAACGGGUCAGACUCCUACGGGAGGCAGCAGUCGGGAAUUUGGGCAAUGGGCGAAAGCCUGACCCAGCAACGCCGCGUGAAGGAUGAAGUCUUUC